UGGGGAAUAUUCGACAAUGGGGGGAACCCUGAUCCAGCCAUGCCGCGUGUGUGAAGAAGGCCUUUUGGUUGUAAAGCACUUUAAGCGAGGAGGAGGCUACCGAGAUUAAUACUCUUGGAUAGUGGACGUUACUCGCAGAAUAAGCACCGGCUAACUCUGUGCCAGCAGCCGCGGUAAUACAGAGGGUGCAAGCGUUAAUCGGAUUUACUGGGCGUAAAGCGCGCGUAGGUGGCCAAUUAAGUCAAAUGUGAAAUCCCCGAGCUUAACUUGGGAAUUGCAUUCGAUACUGGUUGGCUAGAGUAUGGGAGAGGAUGGUAGAAUUCCAGGUGUAGCGGUGAAAUGCGUAGAGAUCUGGAGGAAUACCGAUGGCGAAGGCAGCCAUCUGGCCUAAUACUGACACUGAGGUGCGAAAGCAUGGGGAGCAAACAGG
rnacentral:rRNA from 1 species